GGCGCAGAGCGUCAUCGGGCUGCGCCUCAUGGCUGCUGGGCCCGGAGCGUCCCCACCCGUCCCACGGGAGGUAUUGGGGCUACCGGAGCCGAACCCAAUCUGACCCCUUCGAACUAGGAAAACCUCAGCGUCGGCCGGCGUCCCCAGGAGCGGAGGGGGUUCACCCACAGUUUCCCGGGAGGUCAUCGUGGUUUGCGUGGGGGUGGGCACGGCGGGACCAGACUCGUAUUCAAACUCCCCACCGGAACAUCCUCCUCUCUGACCGAGAGCCGCCCGGAGGCGUCGCCAUGGCAACGCUGACUAGGGCGCCCGGAUGUUGGGUGGACCUGAUCGCCUUUUGCGGGGCCCGCCCUGAUGUACAGCCCCGGUCCGCCCCCGCCGCACCCCUCGGGCAGUGCUGUCCCCAGAUUCCCGGCUCGGCGGUGGUCACUGCUGGUUAGGACACCUCCACUUCGCCACACUCCGGGCCAGGCGCCCCUCGUCGCUCACCGCUUGGUCCUCCUCCAGCGGAGGCCCUGAGUCGUCCCUCAUGAUGCUUUCCCGCGGGCCUCCCUAGGCGCAACCGCCGGAGCCCGAGGCCGGCUUCCCGCGACGCCCGGCCUCCGGGGACUUGUGGGAGGAGGCGGCUUUGCGGAGCCUGGAGAGGCCGGCGUCCCCCACCUGGUUCCCGUCUGCCAGGGUGCUGCCUGGAGGGAGAUCUGUAUGACUGAAACAGCGAGGAUCUCUUUCACUGGCCUGCCCAGUUUCCUAGAUUCCCUGUAGGCCUAGGAGUAUAAUCUGAAUGUUCAGUUCUGAUAGUUCCUUCAGUGGGAACAGUUAUAGUUUAAAAUAGGUAGAAUGGAGGGAAGUGUGGAUAUAAAGAAGAUGAACAGACAUGGGUGCAGUGGAGCUUCGGAUCUAGGGAGACCAAGACUGUAUCAACAUCCUCGUUUUGGAGCUCAUAUACAGGCUCCAGGACUAGUCCACUUUGCUGAUUUGGAAAUAACAGUGUCAUAGGUUUCCUUAUUAGAUAAAUGUGUACUUGUUAACCGCUCUUAGCUUAGUUAGUCAACUAGGCACUUUUGUAAAAUAUAAACAGAAAUAAGAAAAUAUUUUACAAAGUAAAAUACAGUUUGUCAUUAAGUAGACUGGUUUAUUUAGAAGAGUUACAUCUUACAAAACACCAUAUGAAAUCUAUAAAAUGCUCACAUUCAGUGACAACAUUGUCACAUACCUGCCAUUAGCUCAUAUGGGGAAACAUCGGGAAAAUGCCUGAGAGCCAAAUGAGUAGCUCUGUAUAUGUAUAGGAUGCUAUUUAUAGCUAUACAAUAAGGACUUCAUAGUCGCAGUUCUAAUGGGUCAAACACUGCUGUUUUCAAUGGCAGCCGUUAUUCCGGAUCUUUAGGGCACACUAUGAAGCUUCCAGCUUUAAGCAGGACACUAGAUUAAGAUUCAGUGUCAGGGGAAACCCAUGCCUCUGGCACCCACUGCAGUUCUUCCUGAGCCUUCUGUAUGGCGGACAACAGCUGGCCACAUGCAUCUUGCAAGUUGUCAUUCACAAUCACGUGAUCAAAAAACUGGCCAAACUGACUCUCCAUUUUCUGGGCUAACUCCUCCAUCUCUUGUAGGUCUUCAUCCUUCAGGAGUGAUUGAAAAAUAUGUAUGAAUGGCACAGGCAAUAAGACCAGGUGUUCUGCUGGCAAACUCGUGAGGGUAUUUAUAAAAACAAUUAUGUCAAUUACACAUCCUCUAUAUUCUAUCUGUGCCCUCCCUCCAAAUUCUGGAUUUCUGAGACAGAGUCCUGCUGUAUAAACCAGGCUGGCUUUAUAUUUGUGAUCCUUCUACCUCACCGUCCCAAGUGCUGAGGUUUCAGUUGUGCACCUCCAUGCCUAGCAAGGACACAAAUUUAAAAGCCCCAAAGACUUAGGAAAUAGACUGUCUAUGUCCACAGAUGUCAAAAGAUCAAACAGGAAAACCAUAGUUUCAUGGUAAUUGAAAAAUAUAGAGAGAAAAACUCUUAGGGUUAAUAUAAAAAUACUUUUGUCUUGCUUUGACAGGACAUCCUAAAAUUGGAACAGUAUGGAGAUUAGGACUGCAGGCUUAGCCAGGCAGUAGUGGCAUAGGCCUUUAAUCCCAGCACUUGGAAGACAGAGGCAGGCAGAUUUCUGAGUUUGAGGCCAGCCUGGUCUACAGAGUGAGUUCCAGGACAGCCAGGGCUAUACAGAGAAACCCUGUCUCAAAACAAACAAAAGGACAUGCAGGUUUGUGAAGCUGUCAUACUUUUUUUUUCACAGCAAUAUAAAUAUUGAUAGUACUAAUAAACUGUAUACCU
rnacentral:lncRNA from 1 species